rnacentral:rRNA from 1 species
GCUUUACUAUAGCCUGGUAUUGGGUUCGGGCUUUGAUUGCGCAGGAUAGGUGGGAGGCUAUGAAGAAGUCCUUGUGGGGAUUUUGGAGCCAACGGUGAGAUACCACUCUGUCAGAGCUAGAAUUCUAACCGAAUGCCGUUAUCCGGCUUCGGAACAGUAUCAGGUGGGUAGUUUGACUGGGGCGGUCGCCUCCUAAAUGAUAACGGAGGCGCACAAAGGUUCUCUCAGGCUGGUUGGAAAUCAGCCGUAGAGUGUAAAGGCACAAGAGAGCUUGACUGUAAGAGGGACAACUCGAGCAGGGACGAAAGUCGGUCUUAGUGAUCCGACGGCACUGAGUGGAAGGGCCGUCGCUCAACGGAUAAAAGUUA